rnacentral:lncRNA from 1 species
AGGAAGAUCUGAUCGAUUGGUGGCUGGUUGAAUUUUAAGGGCUACAACUCUUGAAGCAAGGUGAAGAAGGAGCGUUGUCCUUGGUUCAAUUUCUAUGUGGAUCACCAUUAAGAGGGCAGAUACUUGAACAUUUUGUGAAAAUUAAGAUUAGUGCUAUAGAUAUUCUUCUUAUCCUAAUUUAUAUUUAUUGCACUUUGAUUUAUAUAAUCAAGAAUUUCUGGGCAUUAGGGUUUUCGGUGCAUCGAGUAUUUUUAAUGA